rnacentral:rRNA from 1 species
UGCCAGCAGCCGCGGUAAUACGAAGGUCCCAGGCGUUAUUCGGAAUCACUGGGCGUAAAGGGAGCGUAGCCGGUUAGGAAAGUCAGAUGUGAAAGGCAGGAGCUUACCUCCUGGACUGCAUUUGAAACUCCCUGACUAGAGUGACGGAGGGGUAGAUGGAAUUCUCGGUGUAGCAGUGAAAUGCGUAGAUAUCGAGAGGAAGACCAAUGGCGAAGGCAAUCUACUGGACGUCUACUGACGGUGAGGCUCGAAGGCUAGGGUAGCGAAAGGGAUUAGAUA